GAACUUGUACGCUAACGUGGAAGAAGAGACUUUGUAGCACCUGGAAUUAAAAGUAGAUUAUUUCAGUAACGUGAACGUAUCUGCAAUAAUAUGUUUGUUUGCAGCACUUUAUUCUCUGUAAAUAUUCUAUAAAAGUCUAACCAUUCCAAAAUGCACUUCUGAAGAUCUCAGUGGACCAGUGGCUACAAUGUUGCUUCUUGUUUGUGCUCGUUAAUAUUUGUUGAAUGUGAAUACGGUAUACUGUAAAGUCUAAUUGCAAAAUGCACUUCUGAAGAUCUCAGCAAACCAGUAAGCCAGUGGCUAUAAUGUUGCUUUCUCGUUUUGUGCUUGUUAGUUUCUGCUGAAUGCGGACCAGUUGUCUCAUCCUGUUCGGCUCUAUUUCUGUAAUGUUGCUUUUAUUGCUUUUGGGAUUGCCAUUCUAGUAUUUAAAAUAUUCAUUGUAUUUCAUUACUUAGUAUUGAAAAAAAUAAAUAUUCAUUGUAUAAUUGGCUUUUGUAUUUCAUUUCUUAGUAUUG